UGGGGAAUUUUGGACAAUGGGCGAAAGCCUGAUCCAGCAAUGCCGCGUGUGUGAAGAAGGCCUUCGGGUUGUAAAGCACUUUUGUCCGGAAAGAAAUCCUUGGCUCUAAUACAGUCGGGGGAUGACGGUACCGGAAGAAUAAGCACCGGCUAACUACGUGCCAGCAGCCGCGGUAAUACGUAGGGUGCAAGCGUUAAUCGGAAUUACUGGGCGUAAAGCGUGCGCAGGGCGGUUUGCUAAGACCGAUGUGAAAUCCCCGGGCUCAACCUGGGAACUGCAUUGGUGACUGGCAGGCUAGAGUAUGGCAGAGGGGGGUAGAAUUCCACGUGUAGCAGUGAAAUGCGUAGAGAUGUGGAGGAAUACGAUGGCGAAGGCAGCCCCCUGGGCCAAUACUGACGCUCAUGCACGAAAGCGUGGGGGAGCAAAACAGGAUUAGAUACCCUGGUAGUCCACGCCCUAAAACGAUGUCAACUAGUUGUUGGGGAUCCAUUUCCUUAGUAACGUAGCUAACGCGUGAAGUUGACCGCCUGGGGGAGUACGGGUCGCAAAGAUUAAAACUUAAAUGAAUUGACGGGGUCAUAGCUGUUUCCU
rnacentral:rRNA from 1 species